CUCCCUCGUUGCCUGACCCCAGGUUCGAUAGUGCCAAUUAGGCACCACCUCGCCAAGAACCAACUUCGAUGAAGCGACGGGCGGUGUGUGCAAGGAG
rnacentral:rRNA from 1 species